rnacentral:rRNA from 1 species
GAUGAACGCUAGCGGCAGGCUUAACACAUGCAAGUCGAGGGGUAGAGGAAGCUUGCUUCCUUGAGACCGGCGCACGGGUGCGGAACGCGUAUGCAACCUACCUUUUACAGAGGGAUAGCCCAGAGAAAUUGGGAUUAAUACCUCAAAGUAUAUAGUCUUCGCAUGUUGACGAUAUUAAAGUUCCAACGGUAAAAGAUGGGCAUGCGUCCUAUUAGUUAGAUGGUAAGGUAACGGCUUACCAUGGCAACGAUAGGUAGGGGUCCUGAGGGGGAGAUCCCCCACACUGGUACUGAGACACGGACCAGACUCCUACGGGAGGCAGCAGUGAGGAAUAUUGGACAAUGGGCGCAAGCCUGAUCCAGCCAUGCCGCGUGCAGGAAGAAGCAUCUAUGGUGUGUAAACUGCUUUCGUACAGGAAGAAACACCCCGACGUGUCGGGACUUGACGGUACUGUAAGAAUAAGGAUCGGCUAACUCCGUGCCAGCCGCCGCCGUAACAC